AGUUGUAAGGGUCAGUAAAGAUCAGAGCCUGCCAUUCUUCAUUCAAAGGCAAUUGUCCCUGAAAAAUGUAACUUACUUCAAUAUUUAAGAGCCCAGCACUGAUAUUAAGUCAAAAUGAAACUUCUGUUAAAAACCCAUAAUUAACCUUGUCUUCAACUUGAGGUCAUACAUUAAUAGCAAUUUCAUAAAGUGGACAUUCCUCUGUCUUUCAUUCUGGAAAACUAAGAUAGGCUUUAAAUAACAUGUCUCUGGGAAAAAAAAAAAUACAUGGAUAAUCGUUGCCACUUACUUUAUGUCAUUAUCUAAGCCCUGGAGACCUCACAUUCCCAGCUCUUCUCCCGGAGCAGUUAUGACAGCCAUCUGCAAGAUUACCACAUCUGAAAAAGUUUUACUGGUCUAUAAAGAUGGAGCAUCUGUUUACAAAGUUAAGUGGAGCUAAUGUAAAUCUUUUAUGUUGUCAAGAGCCACAGUGUUCUGCAACAGCAACCAAAUGUAUUCUAAAAGGUUCUGAACAUCUGGACUAUAGAAUGUGCUUUAACAAAACUUCCUUUUUAUAUGCUUGAUUUCUAUAUCAAAUUGAAGAGCCAGACUUCUGCUUCAGUAAAGUUUUACAUACUGAAUUACUUAUAUUAAGGAAUCAUCAAGCAAACAAACUUCAUGGCUUCCAUACCUUUCCAUCCCAAAUUUUACUGCAAUGGCACCAUCUUUAUCCUUUCCAAUCAAUAUAAUCAGGGAUACUUUUUUGGUUCAUAUUUGGCUGUCACUGAUAAAAUAACAGAGCAUUAUCUGAAAAAGAGCAGGAUGAUAAAGAAAUUAUAAAAUAUCAACAGACAAUUUUAAUAGCAACUCUUGAUUGACCUUUGUACUAAUUUGAAUUCUUAAAUAGAACCAUGCUGGACAUCUA